rnacentral:rRNA from 1 species
UGAGGAAUAUUGGUCAAUGGGCGCAAGCCUGAACCAGCCAUCCCGCGUGCAGGAAGAAGGCGCUAUGCGUUGUAAACUGCUUUUCCAGGGGAAGAAAACCCACGAUGAGUCGUGGCUUGCCGGUACCCUGGGAAUAAGCAUCGGCUAACUCCGUGCCAGCAGCCGCGGUAAUACGGAGGAUGCGAGCGUUAUCCGGAUUUAUUGGGUUUAAAGGGUGCGUAGGCGGAUUAUUAAGUCAGUGGUGAAAACCUUCAGCUUAACUGGAGACUUGCCAUUGAUACUGAUAGUCUUGAGUACGGUCAAGGUAGGCGGAAUGUGUAAUGUAGCGGUGAAAUGCUUAGAUAUUACACAGAACACCGAUUGCGAAGGCAGCUUACUGGGCCAUUACUGACGCUGAUGCACGAAAGCGUGGGGAGCGAACAGG